GAUGAACGCUGGCGGCGUGCCUAAUACAUGCAAGUCGAGCGAACAGACCAGGAGCUUGCUCCUCUGAUGUUUGCGGCGGACGGGUGAGUAACACGUGUAUACCCUACCUAUAUUACUGGGAUAACUUCGGGAAACCGGAGCUAACACCGGAUAACAUGUUGAACCGCAUGGUUCAACAGUAAAAGUCGGUCUUGCUGUCACUUAUAGAUGGAUCCGGGCCGCUUUAGCUAGUUGUUAAGGUAACGGCUUAUCAAGGCAACGAUGCGUAGCCGACCUGAGAGGGUGAUAGGCCACACUGGAACUGAGACACGGUCCAGACGCCUACGGGAGGCAGCAGUAGGGAAUCGUCCGCAAUGGGCGAAAGCCUGACGGAGCAACGCCGCGUGAGUGAAGAAGGUCUUCGGAGCGUAAAACUCUGUUAUUAGGGAAGAACAAAUGUGUAAGUAACUAUGCACGUCUUGACGGUACCUAAUCAGAAAGCCACGGCUAACUACGUG
rnacentral:rRNA from 1 species